rnacentral:rRNA from 1 species
UUAUCCUACGGGAGGCAGCAGUGGGGAAUAUUGCACAAUGGGGGAAACCCUGAUGCAGCGACGCCGCGUGAGUGAAGAAGUAAUUCGUUAUGUAAAGCUCUAUCAGCAGGGAAGAAAAUGACGGUACCUGAGUAAGAAGCCCCGGCUAACUACGUGCCAGCAACCGCGGUAAUACGUAGGGGGCAAGCGUUAUCCGGAUUUACUGGGUGUAAAGGGAGCGUAGACGGCGGUGCAAGCCAGAUGUGAAAGCCCGGGGCUCAACCCCGGGACUGCAUUUGGAACUGUGCUGCUAGAGUGUCGGAGAG